AAAAUGUUGGUUUAGUGGUAUAAUGGCCACCUCCCACGCGGCCGACCCAGGUUCGAUUCCCGGACAAACUG